UGGCUACCGAAUAAGACCGAGUCUUACGUCAACAGACCAGUUUAGAAUGUGCCGGAUGCUGUGGACAUUGGACGACAGACUAACUUAAACCAGGCAGAGCAGGAAACUGUUGGAGUUGUUGUUCCCUCUGUGGCUUGUCCUCUCUCCUCUCAGACCUGUUCAACCCUUGUGGGACAUCAGAAAACCAUGGCCAAGACAUUAACAUUUAUGUACUGAUCUAUGCAUGUCAUCACAGCAGGAUGUAACAAAAACUAACAAUGUGAACAGAUCUCAUCUGCCUUACAAAAUACUGCCCCCCUUAAGAAAAUAAAUGGCUAAUAAUCACCACUGG